rnacentral:rRNA from 1 species
GACGAACGCUGGCGGCGUGCUUAACACAUGCAAGUCGAACGGAAAGGCCCUGCUUUUGUGGGGUGCUCGAGUGGCGAACGGGUGAGUAACACGUGAGUAACCUGCCCUUGACUUUGGGAUAACUUCAGGAAACUGGGGCUAAUACCGGAUAGGAGCUCCUGCUGCAUGGUGGGGGUUGGAAAGUUUCGGCGGUUGGGGAUGGACUCGCGGCUUAUGAGCUUGUUGGUGGGGUAGUGGCUUACCAAGCCUUUGACGGGUAGCCGGCCUGAGAGGGUGACCGGCCACAUUGGGACUGAGGUACGGCGCAGACGCCUACGGGAGGCAGCAGUGGGGAAUAUUGCACAGUGAGCGGGAGCCUGAUGCGGCAGCGCUGCGUGCGGGAUGACGGCCUUCGGGUUGUAAACAGCUUUCGCCUGUGACGAAGCGUGAGUGACGGUAACGGGUAAAGAAGCACCGGCUAACUACGUG